rnacentral:rRNA from 1 species
AGUGAACGCUGGCGGUAGGCCUAACACAUGCGUGUCGAACGGCAGCACAGUAAGAGCUUGCUCUUACGGGUGGCGAGUGGCGGACGGGUGAGGAAUACAUCGGAAUCUACUUUUUCGUGGGGGAUAACGUAGGGAAACUUACGCUAAUACCGCAUACGACCUACGGGUGAAAGCAGGGGAUCUUCGGACCUUGCGCGAUUGAAUGAGCCGAUGUCGGAUUAGCUAGUUGGCGGGGUAAAGGCCCACCAAGGCGACGAUCCGUAGCUGGUCUGAGAGGAUGAUCAGCCACACUGGAACUGAGACACGGUCCAGACUCCUACGGGAGGCAGCAGUGGGGAAUAUUGGACAAUGGGCGCAAGCCUGAUCCAGCCAUACCGCGUGGGUGAAGAAGGCCUUCGGGUUGUAAAGCCCUUUUGUUGGGAAAGAAAAGCAGCAGGUUAAUACCCCGCUGUUCUGACGGUACCCAAAGAAUAAGCACCGGCUAACUUCGUG